AUUUAUUUUACACCUAGUCUUGUCGUACAGGCCACUUUAGGUGGGUCCAACUCGUGUGUAGGAUUUGAUAUGAUUGAGAUUGCUUAUGAGCUAUAUACUCAUCCGUGCAAGUAACGUUAGUUGGAUUCAGCUGAUAUGAUAUAUGACAUUGAUAUAUUUUAGUUAGAUUACUUAUGGCAUUUCAUUGAGAUACUUUGGCAUGGUAUAUUUCUAUGGAUUUUGUCCUAAGCAUGAUUUCUGAAAUAGCAUAUAUUAUAUUUCUAGGAAAUUAUAUAAGUUUUACGGUGAGGGGUUAGAACUUUUGAGAAAUGAAAUGAUUUUGAAAAGCUUUUUUUAUACCCAUUCAUACUUUCUGUUUUGCGCCCCUCUAGGUUUUAGGUAGAAGUGCUUGGUGGCUCACGGGGAUUUCGACGGUGGUUCUGACAGAACAUCUAAAAUGUAGGAUCACCUUUGGGUGUAGUAUAAUAAGUACUUGUCCAGUCGGACUGCAUUUAGGCUAUUUUUGUAUAUUUCACACUUAAUCUCGCACUUGCACCUUAUCUUAUCUAUUACUCUAGUUGAAUUGGUUUUUGUUGAUUCACAAUUCCUUAUUUCUUCAUUACUUCUGCACUGUGCACAUGGUUACGUCACCUUCACGUGACGACCAGCAUGCCUCGAUUCUGGUCGGGGUGUGUCAAAAAAGUGUUGGAAAUGUGCCCUAAAACCAAUCAUGUGAUGAUAUUUUACGGACAUUUCACAUGUUAAACUAAUCUAGUUUAAUAUCAAGGGCAAAGAUUAUUGUUUUAAGCCAUCUCAUAUAAAUGUUAUAUGCUUAAACGAUAAGUCCAAAGAAUAUGUAAUUUAAACAAGUUAGAUUUAUAAGACCAUUCUCUUUCGUAUACAUAUCCUAAACGUUCAUGAUCAUAGGAUUGCCAAUUGGGCAUUGACAGUCCGUUAAGAUCAGUACGUGUUGUGUCUUCUCUCAUGGAGAGUGACUAGUCUCGAGUCAUUGGUGUGAUUGACACCAAGACAAGCAUGUAGGUGCUCAAUAGCGAAUGAGUCCACUAAACACGAUCAACGAGGAGUUCUCAUACUUAUGUCACAUGAGAACUCAUGGUUGGGAUAAUGCAAAGUAGUCCUUUGACCUGAGGCAUUAUGGUUGUCUUGUGGUUAAGUCCUUGAUCUUUGACUAUGUCAAAGUUACUCCAUCAGAGGGUGUCCACGACAUAGUUGGGGUUAAGCUACUUAGCCAUGGAGGCAAGUGAAUGAGCAACAAGGGAUCUCUAACCUUCAAACCGUUUGAGGGAGAAUACUCUAUGAUAUGAUUAAGGAUCUCUUGCCAGAGUAUGAAUGAGAUUUAGGAAGUCAUUCCAAAUCACAUUCAAGGUAAUCAUAUAAGUAAAUGAAUCACAUUGGAUAGUAGACAUGAAUAAACUAUCAAUCCAAAUAAUGUGGUCAAGAGUAUUGUAUUAGAGAAAGACCGUAUUGUAUUGUAAUCCUAAACUGAAUAGGUUCUCCACCUCUUCUGAUUAGCUUGGGUAACCAUGACAUACUGCUAGGUGUCACUCAUGGUUUGUGGAAGCCCUAAACGUGUAUAAUCACUAAAGGGAGAAUUGAAAGUAAGUUUCAAUUCACAAUCGAUUUGAAAGAGUUCUAAUUGCCCACUGCCUCGCUAAAAGGAACCUAAUGGAUCGUACACCGUGUAAGGUAAAGAUUGAAGAAACAACGGAGAUGAGUAAGAAUAAUUAAAUGGUUUAAUUAUUUAUGGCAAGGAUUAAUUAAUAUGUUAAUUAAUCAAACGAAUAAAGUUCGUUGAAAGACCUAGGGUUAGUUUUGGGUCUUAAGGCCCAAUGGGCUUUGAACGUCAAGCCCAUUGACUUAAGUUGUAUGACAACUUAAUGACUAAAUAUUCACAAAGGCCCAAACAACCCAAUAACACCCUAUGGCCGGCCAUAUUGAUAAUGGAGUGGGU
rnacentral:lncRNA from 1 species